AGCUUUCAGCGCCGGGGGGAAGGCCAGGCUGGAGGCAGUCAUUUUCUCUGUGGCUCUACUGAGAAGACGGAAAACAGAAGGAUGGCUCCAUCCUCCCAUGACGGGCUGGUAACACUCCAGGGACGUCUCCUAGGUCUGAGCCGGCCAACCCUCCUCUCCGCCGCUUACCUCCUUCAACACUGCGAUUUGGUCAUCUAAGAAAUCCUCGUCGUUCUCGGACUAUCUCCGUUUCCGUCCUCAACUUCAGCUUCUCACGGACGCGUCACAGCGUCUUUUCUGUCUAUUGUUCCCGUACUCAGUUCCCAUACACUGAUCAGGUUUGGGAUAACCCAAGGGAUUGCUUUUUUCUUCUGUGUAACACCAGCCUCCAGCAGCAUUACAAAAGUAGUAAUAUAAGAUGAAUGCCUUUUCUUAACACUAUAGGUGACUCACUUUGGCCAUGGUUUAAACUAUGUUAUAAAGAGACUAAUGUGAAAACUGUGUGGCACCAGAAAUUUAAAAAAAAAAAACCAAAAAAACCCUGCCUUUUCAGACAUCAAAAUUACUAAAAGACCUUUAAUCGAAGCAGUGUGUUUUGAACUAGAAGACAAUAGAUACAGCAGUAGAGAAUACUAGGUGCCAAAUUGAUCUGAAUAUAUGGGGACCUAUAUGAAAGGGAAGCAUUUCAACUUAGUGUAAAAUAGGUGUUGCUAGUAGAAACUGUCUAUUCUGGGAAAAAACUAAGACUCCUUAUGCUACAUAUAAAAAGUGGAAUUUAAUAACCAAUAAAAACACUUAUGAGAACAUUAAGUUUAAUAUUGAAGCAAAACAGGAAACAUUCCUUAAAGUAUAAACUUGUGUGACUAUAUUUUAAAAAAUUUUAAAAACUAUUAAUAAUACUUAUUCGAAUAUUUUCCUUUCAAUCAUUGUAAUCAAAGAGAAGUGUUUAAUUCAUUUUGUAAAAGUAAAGCAGCUGAUGGUGUGGAUCCUAUUGUAAAAUUUGUUUAAAAGUUCAACACUAAAGAUAAUAUAAUUUGAUUUAUUUUGUGGUAAAAGUAUGUAUGCAAGUUUAGAAUAAAUUAUAUGAUUAAAAGCAAUAGAAAAAACUAUUAAUAAAGUCAAACAAGAAAUAAACUGGAAAAAAAUUGUCAAAAGCCGGAUAAAGAAUUAGAUAUUCCCAAAUACAAAGAACACCUGCCAACUGACAGAAGACAAAGGCAAAGGCUAUGAAGUCAUUCCACAAAGUGGAGAAACUAACUGGUCAUUAACAUUUGAAAAGCUGCUUAGCCACUUUUAAAAUAGUUUGGCAGUCACUCAAAAUGUUAACAUAGAAUUACCAUGUGAUCCAGCAAUUCCAUACCUAGGAUAAACCCAAGAGAAAUGAAAACUAUGUUCACAUGAAAGCUUGUAUAUGAAUAGCAACAUUAUUUAUAAUGGAUGAAACGUAGAAACAACCCAGAUGUCUAUCAACUGAUGAUUGAUGAUUGGAUAAACAAAAUGUAGUAUAUCCAUAUAAUGGAUUAUUACUCAGCAAUAAAAAAGGAAUGAAGUACUGACACAUGGUACAACAUGGAUUUACCAAAUGGAAAGUGACUGCUAAUGGGUGCAGGGUUUUGUUUUUGGGGUGAUGAAAAUAUUCUGGAAUUAGUGAUGUUUGUACACAUUGUGAAUUAUAUUAAAAGCCACUUAAUUAUA